GAAUGUGGCUCAGUAGCAGAGUACAUGUCUUUCAUGCAUGAGGUCCUGGGUUCAAUUCCCAGUGUCAUCA
rnacentral:tRNA from 1 species